rnacentral:rRNA from 1 species
GAUGAACGCUGGCGGCGUGCCUAAUACAUGCAAGUCGAGCGAACAGACGAGGAGCUUGCUCCUCUGACGUUAGCGGCGGACGGGUGAGUAACACGUGGAUAACCUACCUAUAAGACUGGGAUAUCUUCGGGAAACCGGAGCUAAUACCGGAUAAUAUAUUGAACCGCAUGGUUCAAUAGUGAAAGACGGUUUUGCUGUCACUUAUAGAUGGAUCCGCGCCGCAUUAGCUAGUUGGUAAGGUAACGGCUUACCAAGGCAACGAUGCGUAGCCGACCUGAGAGGGUGAUCGGCCACACUGGAACUGAGACACGGUCCAGACUCCUACGGGAGGCAGCAGUAGGGGAUCUUCCGCAAUGGGCGAAAGCCUGACGGAGCAACGCCGCGUGAGUGAUGAAGGUCUUCGGAUCGUAAAACUCUGUUAUUAGGGAAGAACAAAUGUGUAAGUAACUAUGCACGUCUUGACGGUACCUAAUCAGAAAGCCACGGCUAACUACGUG